UAUAUACUUCCUUCAUCCGGAAUUACUUGUCACAUAAAUGAAUAAAAAUGCAUGUAUGUAAAAUUAAAAUAAAUCUAGAUACAUUCGUUCCUAUCCAUUUCUAUGACAAAUAUUUCUGGACAAAAGAAGUAGUAU
rfam:Hordeum vulgare subsp. vulgare, WGS project CAJW01000000 data, contig: morex_contig_61039